GAAUGCUGACAUAAGUAACGAUAAAGCGGGUGAAAAGCCCGCUCGCCGGAAGACCAAGGGUUCCUGUCCAACGUUAAUCGGGGCAGGGUGAGUCGACCCCUAAGGCGAGGCCGAAAGGCGUAGUCGAUGGGAAACAGGUUAAUAUUCCUGUACUUGGUGUUACUGCGAAGGGGGGACGGAGAAGGCUAUGUUGGCCGGGCGACGGUUGUCCCGGUUUAAGCGUGUAGGCUGGUUUUCCAGGCAAAUCCGGAAAAUCAAGGCUGAGGCGUGAUGACGAGGCACUACGGUGCUGAAGCGACAAAUGCCCUGCUUCCAGGAAAAGCCUCUAAGCAUCAGGUAACAU
rnacentral:rRNA from 1 species